AGCGAACGCUGGCGGCAGGCUUAACACAUGCAAGUCGAGCGGGCCCUUCGGGGUCAGCGGCGGACGGGUGAGUAACGCGUGGGAACGUGCCUUCUGGUUCGGAAUAACCCUGGGAAACUAGGGCUAAUACCGGAUACGCCCUUUUGGGGAAAGGUUUACUGCCGGAAGAUCGGCCCGCGUCUGAUUAGCUAGUUGGUGGGGUAACGGCCUACCAAGGCGACGAUCAGUAGCUGGUCUGAGAGGAUGAUCAGCCACACUGGGACUGAGACACGGCCCAGACUCCUACGGGAGGCAGCAGUGGGGAAUAUUGGACAAUGGGCGCAAGCCUGAUCCAGCCAUGCCGCGUGAGUGAUGAAGGCCUUAGGGUUGUAAAGCUCUUUUAUCCGGGACGAUAAUGACGGUACCGGAGGAAUAAGCCCCGGCUAACUUCGUGCCAGCCGCCGCGGUAAAAC
rnacentral:rRNA from 1 species